UAUUUAUUUUUUAAAUGGAGGUACUGGGAAUUGAACUAAGGACCUCGUGCAUGCUGAGCACACACUACUGCUGAGCUAUACCCUUCCUCCUACCAUUCUCUUCUUUGCUUCUACGAGACUAUUUUACAUACCUUGUAUAGUGUAAUCAGGCAAUAUUUAUCCUUCUGUGACUAGCUUGUUUCACUUAGCAAAUGUCCUCAAAUUUCAUCCAUGUUGUUGCAAAUGGUAGGAUUUCGUUCUUUUUCUGUUGAAGUGCAUAUGUACAAUGUGUCUUUCCAGCUUAUUUUAUACCCAAUAGUUUGUACCUCUUAUUUCCCUCCUCCCUUCCCUCUCCCCAUUGGUACCCACUAGUUUGUUCUCUAUAUCUGUGAGCCUGUUUCUUUUUUGUCAUAUUCACUAGUUUGUUGUGUUUUUUAGAAUCCACAUAUAAGUGCUAUCAUACACUAUUUGUAGAGACAAAAAAUUUAAAGAGAGUCUAGCAUGUGAUUUACACAGGAUGCCUUAAGUGUGGUCCUGCUACAUGUUUAAUGAUGAUUAAAUGAAUGUUACAUGAAUGGAGUAAAAAAAAGUCACCUUCCCAGCCUCCUUUGCAACUUGCUUGCUAGUUGGUCUACUUCUGGUCCAUAUGAUGCAAACAGACUUGUACUGGCAUGGCUUCAAGGAAAGCUAUUUUCCUAAUGAAGAGGAAUAGACUCAGCUAGGACAAGAGUUUUGCUCCGUGUUCUUCUUCCUGCUGGAAUAUAAGAUGUGAUGUACAAAGGUUUGGCAGCCAUCAGACAAGCCUGAGGAAGAAAAGUACCUGUUGAGGAUGGUGGAUUGGAAAGGCAGAAGUCUGCAUCCUAGAAGAAUUAGGAAAUGCUAGUUUCCCUUUCAACAUCUUGUUUUAUCUCUCCACAAGUCCUGUGGUCCUCACCUCCAAAAUAGUUCCCAUACCUCUCCUUUCUUUCUGGACUGCUACCUGGACGGAUGUGAGCGCCCCAUCCCUCACGUAGACUCCUACAACUGCCCUCUACCAGUCUCUCUGCUUCAGCUCUCACCACUUGUAUCUCUGCUGUGCAAUGGCCAAACUGAUCUUAACACAGAAUUCUUAUUAGGUGUAAAACACUACAUUGGUUUCCCAUACAAUUAGAAUGAAACCCCGACUCCUAGCCUUGUCCUACAAGGAACUGUGACAUCUGGCCCUGCUCCCCUUUCUGGCCUCAUCUACUGUCUUCCCCUUGAUAAGUGCUCUUCAGCCCGGGGAGCUUUGUGUCCUCCAAGCUCAUUGGGCUUGACCCCCAUUGAGGGGCCUUACUUGGCCUUAUUUUACAUGUUAGAAACUGAGACUGGAAGGGUCAGUUGUUCAUCUGGAGUUAGAAUUUGGACUCUAAUUCUACCACACUAUACUGUCUCUAAAGAUAAGAAGCAAGAACUCACUUGGAAAC